rnacentral:misc_RNA from 1 species
GCUUUAUCUGCUUUAUCCUGUGGCAAAUUCUUUCUAGCUACCAGUCCGCUGACAUUUGCUUCAAUAGCUUUCAUCCCCUUCUGAAGAAACUCAGAAUUAAUUUCCUUAAGUAUAACAAUUGUGUUGCUAAGGGCAAGGGCUGUAGCUAUGCCUGAACCCAUUAAACCUCCACCUAUUACAGCAACUUUCUUGACUGUCCUAGGUUUGAGGCCAAUAUCAGUGACAUUAGGUACCUUCGAAGUUGCCCGUUGGGAAAAAAAUAUAUGAACAAGACCCUUUGAUGUAUCUGACAUUAAAAGGUCCUUGAAUACUUUAGCUUCCUUGAGAACCCCAUUAUAUCCUCCAUGAAUGAUGCCUUCUUCAAUUACCUCAAUGCACGCCAUGUGCUGAGGCAUAUUCUUAACUGUCUGUUUCACUUGUUCCCUAGCCACCUUCAGUAUUUCAUGUGCUUCUGAAAGGGAACCAAUUUUGUCUGUCUUGUGAAGGGAACGCAUCCAAGGCUUGCGCCUUUCUGCAAUAUCAAGUGCCCACCGUCUAGAUACUUUUAAUAACUCUGCUGAAGGGACAAUGGCAUCAAUGAGACCAAGCAUCUUCCCUUCCUCCGACAUUAUUGGCUUAGAUGUCAUCAUAAGUUCAACAGCUUUAGACAACCCUAUAAGCCUUGGAAGACGCUGUGUACCUCCAAAUCCAGGCAUGACUCCAAGACUGAGCUCUGGCAACCCCAGUUGUGCUCGUGGUGCAGCAAUUCGUGCAUGGCAUCCCAAUGCCAAUUCUAAGCCACCUCCGAGUGCAAGUCCUUCUAUAGCAGCAACUGCAGGCUUUUUACCAUCUUCCAUCAUGUUAACCACAAGAUUAACAGAAACAUCAGGCAUCUGAGAUGUAUCCCCAGUCGCAUGAACCUUCUGAAAAACAUUGAUAUCAAAACCACCAGAAAAUCUCCCCCCAUUUCCAGUCAAAACAAUAGCUUUAACAUCGUUUCUCAUCGUCGCUUCAGUCCACUUCUCCUUCAAUCCAGCGAUAAUUGGAAUAGCUAAAGCAUUGACCGGAGGAUUAAAAAUGGUGAUCACUGCAACGCCGUCGAUUCCCACCUCCAUCGUCACCUUAAGAGUAGCCAUUUUUCAACUCCCGUGUGGAGUAUUUAGGGCGAUUGAGGAGAAAGAGAAAAAGAAAAAGGGCUCGAAUAAGGAAGUUUGGUAGUGGUGAUUGG